UACGUAGGGGGCGAGCGUUGUCCGGAAUUAUUGGGCGUAAAGAGCGUGUAGGCGGUUCGGUAAGUCUGUCGUGAAAACCUGGGGCUCAACCCCAGGCGUGCGGUGGAUACUGCCGGGCUAGAGGAUGGUAGAGGCGAGUGGAAUUCCCGGUGUAGCGGUGAAAUGCGCAGAUAUCGGGAGGAACACCAGUAGCGAAGGCGGCUCGCUGGGCCAUACCUGACGCUGAGACGCGAAAGCGUGGGGAGCGAACAGG
rnacentral:rRNA from 1 species